GAUGAAGAACGCAGCGAAAGUGCGAAACGUAAUGUGAAUUGCAGAAUUCAGUGAAUCAUCGAAUCUUUGAACGCACAUUGCGCCCCUUGGUAUUCCGAGGGGCAUGCCUGUUCGAGCGUCAUUAUAACCCCUCAAGCUCAGCUUGGUGUUGGGGCCUGCUGCACUGGCAGCCCUUAAAAUCAGUGGCGGCGCCAUCUGGCUCUAAGCGUAGUAAUUCUUCUCGCUAUGGAGUCCUGGUGGAUGCUUGCCAUCAACCCCCAAUUUUUCUAUGGUUGACCUCGGAUCAGGUAGGGAUACCCGCUGAACUUAAGCAUAUCAAUAAGCGGAGGA
rnacentral:misc_RNA from 1 species